UUGUUUUUGUAUUGGUGUAAAUUAACCGACUGGAUAUCUUUAACAUAAAUCUUUAAAUGGUAUGUUUAAUUGUUGAAAAAAAGAUUUGUAAAUCAUUAGCGUAUAAAACAUGGAGAAAUAUCAUAAUAUUUGGAUGUUCAUCCAAUAACAUGAUCACGAUUCCUUGUGGACAACUACACCUCAUUCUCAUCAUUUUGACUUGCUUCCCAAGACACAUAAAUGGAGCAUCGCUUGGUGACCUUUGUAUAACAGACAAUAAUUGCAGCAGCUUGGCAAAUUCCGAGUGCAGGAGAAUAUUUGACUGUACCACCGGGACUUGCGUGUGCCGGUCAGGAUAUGGAAACCAAAAUGGCAAUGGAUGUGACAAAAUAUUACGUGGAUUUGGCCAAAGUUGCGGGUCGGCUUACUACUGUAAUGGAGCAAACCAGGAAUGUGACACAACGACAGGCAGAUGUGCUUGUACAUACUGGUAUGAUUAUCACUCUAAAGCAGGAGAGUGUGUUCUCCGUACAUACAAAAUCUUGGGAGAGACUUGCGGUGGCAGGUAUUCUGUGCCUUGUCUUCAAACGCUUCUAGAUUCAGGAGGACAGUGUGCCAGUACAUGUAGCUGUCAGUCUGGAUAUGUAGCUGACACAUCCGAGUCAUACACCACGUGCCGGUCACCGCGAUGGGGCGAAAGUUGUCAGUGGUCACCGCUGUGUGUCGUUUCAUUCAAUACUUCCACAAUAUCAGACGACACAUCCAGCAACGUUCCAACGUGCACCAACAACAUAUGCACAUGUCCUCCAUCACAUGAGCAUAGAUAUGUUAAUGGUUAUAAUUUGUGUCUAAAGUGGACGCUGGUUUUGAGCGCUACAACAACGGUGAGAAUUGUACACACUUCAGUGAAUGUCAAAGUUUCCUUUGUGUGAAAUGUCCAGGUGCAGCAAGUGGUGUUUGUAUGACAGAUUCAGACAACACAGAGUACUCGGAAGCUGUAUCUAUACACUACAUGUCUGCAAUAAGAUGGAUGGGCGGACUAUUUUUAUCUAAUUUAGUCGUUCUUUUCUUUUGAAGUAACUAAACAUUAGUUGGCAAAGUACCAAGUUUCUCAAUUAUUACGCAUACUUCUGGAGCGCUUAUUGAAUGUUUUAGGAGAAAACAACCGUUCGCCUAUAAUUAAAAAUCUGAAAUUGCAGACCACCAUUUCCAGUUAGAAUGCAAGCGACCUGAAUAUAUGUAGGAUCUAGAUAUCUCCAGUUAAAUAUAGAGGACUUUGAACAAUCAACACACCAGCAAGGUUUUUGUUCUAUUACAUUCAUGAUACUCUUCACUACUGCAAUUUUAUGUUCCAAAUCAAGAUAUAAACGUAUGCUCGAAUUUCAUUUCUGAACUCAUUAACGGCAUGUUUUGUUACAUGUUUCUCAUAGUGCAUAUCAAUAUCACUGUUUUCACUGAGGUCUAGUUUUGUAUGUGUCAGCAACAGGAAACAGUUUUGGAAUAUACCUAAUUCGAACAUCAUAUUCCGCAUUAUUGCUUCGUUGUUAAAAAAUGACAAAAUCACUUACUUAUGUUCACUGUUCAUUUACAAUUUUCAAAUAAAUCAUUUAUCAUUUCGCAUUUCAAUUAUUGAUAUGAAAAAGCUUCAGUUCUUUGGACAACUAUGCCGCUUACCAGGUAGAUAUUUGGCCAAGCAUUUAUUCCUACAUAGACUGACCAGAUUUUUGAAUUACGAUCGUCAAACACGCGGCUUUAUACCGGAUGUAUACAGCAUCCAACAAUACAACUGGUUACUAGUAUUUUAUAAAUACUUGAAAUUUAUUACGAGUUACAAUGACGUUAAUUCUAUUUAUGCUGAUUACCGAUUGUACGUAAGUUUGCAAAGUGCACUUAUGCUAUUAUAUUAUUGUUAAAAACAAAAUUGCUUUGCAGUCUGAGCCAGAUUAUGACAUAUAUUGCAGUUGUUUGCAUACGAAAUAUUUUAUAGUUUUAGCUGUAUAUGAAUUUAAGCGUUCAUAUCAGCGCUAUUGUACUUUCAUGCUCAACAGUGGGAUUUAUUUUUAUCAGUUAGAGAUAGUACCUAAAAUUUGAAUUAUGAUACACAAUUAACAGACAAAAAGAACUGACGGUGAGUGGUCAUAUAUAACAAGCAAAUUCGAUGAAUUGGUAUCCCCCGCCGAAAGGGUUUGUGGUGAGGAAUGGCAAAAAAAAUAUAUCCGGCAAAAAGUUAAGGAUGUUACUAUAUAUAAGAAGCGAAUAAUUUCAUUAAUCAAAAUCAAUUUAACAGAAAACAAAUGUUUAAUUAAAGAGUACAUAAUAAAUGUAUGAUACUUUGAUCCUGACUAAAGAAUUUAUUUUGAAUGGUAUAUGUUUACUGUAAUAAGCUUAGCUUUUAAAAUUAAAUGCAGUUAAUUGAAAUGUGAGCUUGAAGUUUAGGUGGAACGAAAUAUUGUCUGAGUGGUUUGGCACCAAGCGUUGCUGUUUAACAUGUACAUUAGAACAUAAAAGAACAGAUGUCCUUAAGAGAACACAAUCAAGUAAAAUAUCUUGAACAUGGCUGGGGACAAGAUUGGUGUAGUUAC